rnacentral:rRNA from 1 species
AGCAGCCGCGGUAAUUCCAGCUCCAAUAGCGUAUAUUAAAGUUGUUGCAGUUAAAAAGCUCGUAGUUGAAUUUCGGGGUUAGUAGGUUGGUCAUGCUUCUGGUAUGUACUGGUCUCACUGAUUCCUCCUUCCUGAUGAGCCGUAAUGCCAUUAAUUUGGUGUUGCGGGGAAUUUGGACUGUUACUUUAGAAAAAUUGGAGUGUUUAAAGCAAGCUAACGCUUGAAUACAUUAGCAUGGAAUAGUGAAAUAGGACGUUCGAUCCUAUUUUGUUGGUUUCUAGGAUUGAUGUAAUGAUUAAUAGGGAUAGUUGGGGGCAUUAGUAUUCAAUUGUCAGAGGUGAAAUUCUUGGAUUUAUUGAAGACUAACUACUGCGAAAGCAUUUGCCAAGGAUGUUUUCAUUAAUCAAGAACGAAAGUUAGGGGAUCGAAGACGAUCAGAUACCGUCGUAGUCUUAACCAUAAACUAUGCCGACUAGGGAUCGGAUGAUGUUAAUUUUUUAAUGA